UCUGUCUCUGUUUCUCAAAGAUCUACAGUGUGUCAAUGACUUCAUCAGCAACAUCACGUGUGUGUUGAACAACACAUGCAUACCCCCAGACAUGCCGUGCACUCUGCAUGGUGAAUACCCCGGGUUUAAAAGGCAAUGUGAGAUGAAGUCCUUGGCUGGUUUCAACACAACCUUGAGAGGCGGCAGUCUGGUCUUUGAGGGCAAUCCAUUCUUUUGGAAAGAGGAUGAAAUAUCCAUUGUUGUACGGUGUGGACAAGCAGAAGAUUAUAUGAUACAGAUUGAAUACCUGU